rnacentral:rRNA from 1 species
GACGAACGCUGGCGGCGUGCUUAACACAUGCAAGUCGAACGGAAAGGCCCUGCUUUUGUGGGGUGCUCGAGUGGCGAACGGGUGAGUAACACGUGAGUAACCUGCCCUUGACUUUGGGAUAACUUCAGGAAACUGGGGCUAAUACCGGAUAGGAGCUCCUGCUGCAUGGUGGGGGUUGGAAAGUUUCGGCGGUGGGGGAUGGACUCGCGGCUUAUCAGCUUGUUGGUGGGGUAGUGGCUUACCAAGGUUUUGACGGGUAGCCGGCCUGAGAGGGUGACCGGCGACAUUGGGACUGAGAUACGGCCCAGACUCCUACGGGAGGCAGCAGUGGGGAAUAUUGCACAAUGGGCGGAAGCCUGAUGCAGCAACGCCGCGUGCGGGAUGACGGCCUUCGGGUUGUAAACCGCUUUCGCCUGUGACGAAGCGUGAGUGACGGUAAUGGGUAAAGAAGCACCGGCUAACUACGUG